GUUUUCGUAAUUAAAACUUUUCUUCCGUCUUGAAACUGGUGGCUCAUUUAGUUUUUGGCUCAUUUAGUUUUAGAGCUGUGUAGGAUUAUUGUAGCGGCUUUGUUUAUGUUCCUUUUUCUUGGGCUCAGGUGUGGAAGAUAAGCUUCCUCGAGGAAUAGUGUUAAUUGCACAUGCCAUGGGUUUAGGUCGAGCAAUCUUACUCCAUAUAAUGAUCUCGAUAGUCGGAGUGUCGACAAAGCAGUUAACCCCAUUCAUUGACAUAGAACUCCACGCAGAAUGGACAAAUAUAUCAACAGUCAACGUCACCUGUGAAGUAGUCAUCGACACAUUCUCGCUACCAAUAACUUUCACUAUGAUGGCCAUCCUUCGAGAAACGCCGUCGGAAACAAGAUUCUCAAAAAUAGCGUCGAUAAUUAGGUCAUCGAUUCGAAGCACCCCUAGGGUU
rnacentral:sRNA from 1 species